CGGGGGGAGCAAGCGUUGUUCGGAUUUACUGGGCGUAAAGGGCGCGUAGGCGGCCACCGCAAGUCGACUGUGAAAUCUCCGGGCUUAACCCGGAAAGGUCAGCCGAUACUGCGGGGCUAGAGUGCAGAAGGGGCAACUGGAAUUCUCGGUGUAGCGGUGAAAUGCGUAGAUAUCGAGAGGAACACCUGCGGCGAAGGCGGGUUGCUGGGCUGACACUGACGCUGAGGCGCGAAAGCUAGGGGAGCGAACGGGAUUAGAUACCCCGGUAGUCCUAGCCUUAAACGAUGAAUGCUUGGUGUCUGGGUUUUAUAGUCCCCGGGUGCCGUCGCUAACGCUUUAAGCAUUCCGCCUGGGGAGUACGGUCGCAAGACUG
rnacentral:rRNA from 1 species